rnacentral:rRNA from 1 species
GACGAACGCUAGCGGCGUGCCUAAGAAAUGCAAGUCGAGCGAGGUUAGGGAGCUUGCUUCCGAAGCCUAGCGGCGAACGGUCGCGUAACACGUAAGCAACCUGCCUCGAAGUGGGGGAUAGCCAUCCGAAAGGGUGAUUAAUACCGCAUGUGGACUAGUUAUCGCAUGUUUGACUAGUCUAAAGCAGCGAUGCGCUUCGAGAUGGGCUUGCGGCCUAUCAGCUAGUUGGUGUGGGUAACGGCUCACCAAGGCGACGACGGGUAGCUGGUCUGAGAGGACGAUCAGCCGGACUGGGACUGAGAUACGGCCCAGACUCCUACGGGGGGCAGCAAUUAGGAAUCUUGCGCAAUGGGCGAAAGCCUGACGCAGCGACGCCGCGUGACUGAUGAAGUCCUUCGGAGUGUAAGGUACGUUUUACUAGGGAAGGAAGGAAGUGUGACGGUACCCGUCGUGAAUAAGACCCGGCCGUAACUACGUGCCAGCAGCCGCGGUAAGUCUCGUCU